GGCUGGGGCUGCUCAGGGUGGGGGUGGCAGUGGCCACCGUGGCAUUGCAGGUGGGCUGGGACCAGCUAAUCAUGACAUUAAUUGUUAUUAUUAUCAUUAUCACAGCUGCUGUGUAUUGAGCAUUUACCACUCUCCCAAUGCUCUUCCCUUUAACCUUUGCUGAAGCCCACGAGGUGGGCAUUAUGAUCCUCAUAGUAAGGAAGCCACGGUUUGGAGAAGUUUAUUCUCUUGCUCUGGAUACAUGCCUGGGAAGCCCCAGAAUGGAAUAUGGAGUCAAUCCUGUCCUAUUUUAGAAACCACUCAGUUGCUAUCUAUGGCAUCCCAAGGUGUCUUUUUCUUUUUUUUUCACGUUUAGCAAAACAGACCCGGACUGGAUCCUAGCUGGUUAUUUCCCCAGUGCUCCCAGACAUGAGGGAACUCGUGUGCUCCCCUCCUGCAUGGAGCUCGUGGCUCCAAUGGCCCAGGGAGGGUGGUACAGAGGCUAGAAGUGCUGUCCCGAGGAAAGACGGAGAGUUCAGGCAAAGAGCCAGGUGACUAGGUCCGUGAGGAGGGCCUGGGAUUGCUGACGUGACGUGGCUUUGCCUUCCUCUCCGAUGGCACCCUGCCUUGGCCACAGUGAUGGCAUCUCUAUUCUCAGCGGUGCUGAGCUCUGGUUGCCAGUUCAGGAGCCCUUCCUCAACCCAUAUUCUCCCCAUACUGGGGUCAGAUACACACAUCUGUCUCCUUCAUUGAUGUGCCCAAGCACCACCAUUUUCUGGAAUGAGCAAGAGUCUUGAGUGCCUUCUAGUCUAGAGAAACCUCAGUUGUGCCCCUUUCAACUCUCUUCGUGGGCUGCCCUGCCGCCCCCUCUCCUGAUGCAUAUCCUCCAGGAGGCUCCCCACUUCUCUGUCCACACUUGGAUCAUCAAACAUCUUCCGGUCACCCUAGCCCCCAGGACAGUCUCAGUUUGGUAAUUAGAAUGUCCAGUCUGGAGUGAUACCCAAAGCUUCAAACUGCAUUUAAAACUCACAGUCAGAAAAGGGAGUCAGGGGAGAUGUUUCUCUCUUGACUCUCUGUGUUAGUGUCCAAUUGCUGCUGGAACAAAUUAUCAUGAACACAGAGGCUUGAAACCAUGCAAAUUUAUUAUCUUAUGGCUCUGGAUUUGUUAUCUUACAGGUCAAAAGUCUAAAAUGGGUUGGCAGGCCUGCUUUCCUGGCGAUAGCUGUAUGGGAAAAUCAUUUCCUUGCCUUCUCCAGUUUCUCAGGGCUGCCGGCAUUCUGUGGCCUGUGGCCCCACACCCUCCAACCUCUGCCUCCAUGGUCAGGGCUCCUUCUUGCUGGUGCAUAUGCUUUCCUGACAGGGAAUCGCCUAAUUUUUAGCAUCUUAUAAUGUGAAUAGACUGAGAUUUCCCUACAUCAUUCCUUUUAACAGUUCUUCCCUCGAUUUCUCCCUUUCCCCUGGUAUUUUACUAUAAGCAGCAAGAAGAAAGCUGGCUGCACCUUCAGCACCGUGCUUGGAGAUCUCAGCUAAACAUGCAGGUUCAUUAUUUACGAGUUCUGCUUUGCACAGAACUGCGGUACACCGUUCAGUUGAGCCGUCUGCCCGGAUAUAACAAAGUCCCCCUUUCCUCCAGUUUCUGAUAACAGUUACCUCAUUUCCUUCUGAGCCCUCACCCAUAGCACCUUUAACAUUCACAUUUCUGCCAACGGUCUGUCUAGGAUGAUUUCCAUGUUCUCUAAGAUGGCACAGGGUUCCUCACUGCGCUCCCCACUGCCUUUAGGCCCUUGCUGCCAGAGUCUUUCACAUCCAUGUUUCUACUGACAGUCUGGUCCAGACAAUCCUGUUUUUUUCUAUCACACGAUGCAAUAUUCUUCUAUCCUCUGCCCACAGUCCAGUCCCAAAGCCACGUCUACAUUUUUGAGUUACAGCAGCACCCCACUUCCAGGCACUGACCUUUGUAUCAGUUAGAGUUCGGAAACAAAGGCUGAAGUCUGCAGACUGUUGGGAGGGCAGGGUGGGACCUGCUGGCAGGAGCGCUCUGCUCUUCAUAGCAGAAUCUCUUUUUCUUUAAGGAAGCCUCAGCUCUGCAAUUAAGGCUUUCCACUGACUGAAUCAGGCCUGCUCAGAUCGCCAAGGACAAUCUCCUUUACAGUAUGUGGACUUUAAGCCCAUCUACAAAAUACCUCCACAGCUAACCCUAGAUUAGUAUUUGAUUGAAUAUUUGGGGAUUACAGCCUAGCCAAGUUGACACAUGAACCUGACCAUGAUACUUUACCACUCUCCCAUCCUCAUCCCACUGGCUGAUGAGGCGCCUGAGUGGGCCAGAGGUGUGGGCUGGGGCAGAAGAUGAGAUCAGCGGGCAGGAGUGGUCUUCACCACUUGGGAGGGUUGUUUCCAAAGGCAGUGAUUUCCUUUGGUGUUGGCUGCUGUUCACAGCUGACCCUUUCUCUCCUGGGUGCUUUUGAGAGCUCUCAGACCCCUGGUACCUUCAACGUUUGUUGCAUAAUGUGGCAUAACCAAUGGCUCCGAGACUCAGUGGCUUAAACCCAGCAUUUACUCUCAUGGUCAUGGACCUGCAGGUUGACUGAUUCUGCUGAUCUAAACCAGGCUUGGUUCCUGGGUCAGCUCCAGAUGGCGAGUUUAGUUCAUGGCUCCUCCAUAUUCAUUCUGGAGCCCAGACCCAGAGUCAGCAGCACUGGGACAUGGUCUUCCUGUGGAUCACAGGAGGGCAAGAGGUCAAGCCUAUCUGAGCAAGUGUGUUUGUAGCCCCUGCUCCAGGAGCACCUUCUCCCGUAGCAAGUCACCUGCUUAGCUCAAAGUUGAAGAUGUGGGAGGUGACUGCUCACCAUGAGGCCACAUCUAGGGUGUGACUAUCAUUCUGUUAUACAGGAGUGAAUGGUUGGGACCUAUAAUGCAUCCUGAUGGUGGGGUCUCUCUUACCAGCCCCUCUCUGGCAGGCAGUUAUUGUGGUCCCUUGGCCUCUGGUUCUAAGUGAUGUCCUUCCUAACAGACUAUCUCUUUGCAUCCUGUUGCCCUGCAGGCAUCCCUCUUGGGGAUAUUUAAGACUUCUCUGAGUCCGUUUCACCUCAGCUCUCUACAGUGCUGCCACAGGCCACCUCUGCCAAUCUUUUGCCCUGUAGAGUUUUUGACCAUGAGUCAGAUGCAUCCACUGUAUUCUCCAGAUUCCAUGGAGAUGCAUAGCAAGUAGUCUUGAAGCCCCUUUCACUAGCAUUCCCAUCCUUCUCCCAAGAGAUCUCUUGGGGCCCCGUGCCUGUCUGGGGUUCCAUCUGCACUGGAUGGAUCAAUUGCCAAGUUGGGGAUAAUUGGCCUUCUUCCUCCAGCCACAGUCAUUUUUCUCUUUCUCAGUCAAGCAUGCCCCCUGUGCUGCCUGCUUUCUGCUGGACACUGCAUUUGGGUUUGAAGAUGAGACGUUUCCUGUCAGCUCCGUUGUGCUCCACUGAGCUGGGUGUUGUGUGAGCUAUUCAUUAAGAUUGCCUAUUAUUUUGGAUUCCCUUCAGUUACUCAGGGCAGUUUAUUCUCUUGCUGAAGGGCCAGAAUCUUGGCUCCCUGAAGUCUCAUACCCAGAGACUUUGGCCACAUAGGUAACAGAAGAUUGGGGCGAAAAGUCCUGACUGGUGGCUGGAUGCAUUGUUUAUACCGUGUCACACAAAGGAUUAGUUUGGGCAAUCAUAGGGGUGAGUGUGAACACUGAUUACAUCUACAGGUAUCAGCCAAAUGAAAUGAAGUGUAACUAUAUAAAGUUAGGCAAAUUUAAAGGAUUGUUAUUUCUACUGGGCUAGAUCACUACGUCCCAGAAUAGAAGAGUAACUUCUGAGGUCAAAUCCAAAUUGCCUGUUUUCUGCUUCUGUGAAUCUAAGUACAAUACAAGAAUGCUUUUGGCCGAAGAAGCUGGUCCUGCCAGCCAGCCAUCUGUACCUCUUUACUGUUUGCCACCAUUAAGCCCCCUCUGAGUGGUGGCAAAGUAUGGCCCCACUGGGUAACUUGCAUUUUUCACCAGUGACAAGAGGAGAAGCUGAUUUCCCCUAGAGGAGGGGAGAGGGCUCAUGUGCCUUCCCAUUCUGCUUCUGAGGUUCGAAGAUGCCACGGCUCACCAGGCUCCAUGGGACUCAACAGGGGACAUUCUGCCAAUGGCCUCACCUUGCCUGAACCAGCCCAUUCUCCUUCAAGUUCAAGGGGGAAUAAUCCUCACUGAAGCCUCCUCAUCGAACUGCAAGCAACUCUGGGCCUGGCCCUGAUGUAUCUCUGGGUCCCCUGACUCACAACAGCAGAUUAGCACAUGCUGGCUGAAAGGGUGGAGACAAGAGCAGAGGAAAGGAACACCUCCACUCCCUCUCAGCGUCCAAGGGGCCCAAACUGGACUUGCAGGGGCACUAAAGCACCAGCCCAUCUCAACACAUCUUCACUUUCCUGGUGACAAAGCAGAGAUCUGGCAGAAUCAACACACAGCUGAUUGCCUCAAUUAGGCAACAUGGACUGCUGGAUAGAACAUUCUGGCAGAAAAGAACUGUCUGGUCAUUCCCAAUGAUGAUCCAACUGUUUUAAAAAAAUUUUUUCUACUGCAUUGGAAAAUUCAUUCCAAUGGGACCAACCACUGGAAUGUGCUGUGUCACUGUCUGAGGGGACCUGGUUUUGGAUUCAUGGAAGGCAGAGGUGGACCACCCCAGUGUGGUUCAGGGGAAAGUCAGAGGGUAGGAGUUCUAUUAUGAGUUCUUGUAUUGACUUGCUUUGUGACCUUCAGCAAUUCUUUUUCCUUUCUGGGCCUCAGUUUCCCUAUCUAUAGAGUGGAGUGAUCUGGAGUAUGGAACCAAGCCAACUUGCCUCAGUACAGAUUUCAGUUUGCUUGUUUUUAGCAGAGACCUUGGCAAAGUUACUUUUUCUGCAAAAUGGGGACAAUAAUAGAUCUCUUUCAUUGGGCAGGUGAGAGUUAAGUGAGUUAAUGUAUUCAGAGUGCUCAGCACAGUGAGCAGCACAGGGUGAGCCCUCUGUAAAUGUUUGCUGUGGCAUUUUUGUCAUCAUCAUUGUCAUCAUCAUGAUCGGACUAGGUCAUUGGUCCCAAAUAUAGGUCAGUCUCUUGACUGGGGCUGGUCUGUCAAAAUGAGAACCGAGGGACCAUGUGAUACACACAUAACACUGCCAACAUUUCUUUUUUUGGAAGGUUAUCCUUUUUUCCCAAAAUUAUGUCCUUCCUAUUCUUUUAGUGCUAAAAUGUCAUUCUUAAGUAAAAGACUAAUAAUUAUACAUUUUCAAAAUGUCCCAUCUGGCAAAACAAGAAGCUGCCUCCCAUGUCAAGGUUCUCAGACACCACUUAGGCCAGUUUACUUGUUCUCUGGAUGAGGAGGCCCUGCCCAGAGGAAAGGGAUGUGGCUGAGGUCACGAAACACAGUCUCAGACUGCUGAGGAGCCGAGGGAUAGACCCAAGUCCCUGUUCAGGCCUGAAGUGGCUGCCUCCAAAAGAAAGGAAAGAGGGGACUAUGAAAACCAAGUGAAAUUCUCCUCAAAUCAGCAGUAUGUUUGGAAGUGUAACUAGGAGAAAUAGUAAAAGUUUAGGUUAACUCCACUGAUACUUUACUUAGUACCAGCAUUACA